CCACACCGGAUGGCAGGUCCCUUUAAUCCCCGCUAACCGCCCGGUCGCCUUGCGCCUUCCGACACUCCCGCAUGAACGCGAGCGACUUAAGCGAGGCCUCCAAACGGGAUGACUCUGAGGUGCCCCCCUGUCACUCAAAAACGGUGCCACAAGAAAUUCAUUAAUUCCAUUAAUUAUUUUGAAUAACAAUAAGGUUGGCAAACGAGUGUUGCCCUGUGGCAACAGCUACGUGAACGGGCGCGUAUUCGGGGUGUUCGAUCCUUGCCUCAAACCGGCGAUUGACCUAGGCCCUUCGUCAAACUCCUUUUGGGAAAUCCGCAAAUGGUCGCUCGGAAGAGGAAUCCGAAAGAUACUGAUUUUCCGGCUAACGGAGUGGUCACGCAGAGCCACGCGGCCAAUAUCGACCGAGAUCCUGCCACGGUCCGACAACUUCUUUGGGAUGUGGCCGCUAUCAAUAUCCAUC
rnacentral:misc_RNA from 1 species